rnacentral:rRNA from 1 species
GGUUGAUCCUGCCAGUAGUCAUAUGCUUGUCUCAAAGAUUAAGCCAUGCAUGUCUAAGUAUAAGCAAUUAUACAGUGAAACUGCGAAUGGCUCAUUAAAUCAGUUAUCGUUUAUUUGAUAGUUCCUUUCUACAUGGAUAACCGUGGAAAAUCUAGAGCUAAUACAUGCGUAAAGCCCUGACCUCUGGAAAGGGUGUAUUUAUUAGAUAAAAAAUCAAUGCCUUCGGGCCAUUAGAUGAUUCAUAAUAACUUUUCGAAGCUCAUGGCCUUUGUGCUGGAGCUGGAUCAUUCAAA